CCCUUAGAUGUUCUGGGCCGCACGCGCGCUACACUGAUGCAUUCAACGAGUCUAAAACCUGCUCUGAUAGGGGUGGGUAAUCUUUUGAAUGUGCAUCGUGAUUGGGAUAGAUGAUUGCAAUUUUUCAUCUUCAACGAGGAAUGCCUAGUAAACGCAAGUCAUCAGCUUGCAUUGAUUACGUCCCUGCCCUUUGUACACACCGCCCGUCGCUCCUACCGAUUGAAUGAUCCGAUGAAUAUCAUGGAUUGAGGAUUAUAGCAGGUUCGCCUGUCUGGAUCUUCGAGAAGUGAAGUAAAUCUUAUCAUUUAGAGGAAGGAGAAGUCGUAACA
rnacentral:rRNA from 1 species